rnacentral:rRNA from 1 species
AUUGAACGCUGGCGGCAGGCCUAACACAUGCAAGUCGAACGAGUGGCGGACGGGAGUGUAAUAUCUGGGAAACUGCCUGAUGGAGGGGGAUAAAUACUGGACACGGUCGCUAAUACCGCAUACCAUCAGAUGUGCCUCGAUGGGAUGAGCUAGUUGGUGGGGUAACGGCUCACCAAGGCGACGAUCCCUAGCUGGGCUGAGAGGAUGACCAGCCACAGUGGAACGGAGACACUGUCCAGACUCCUACGGGAGGCAGCAGUGGGGAAUAUUGCACAAUGGGCGCAAGCCUGAUGCAGCCAUGCCGCGUGUAUGAAGAAGGCCUUCGGGUUGUAAAGUACUUUCAGCGGGGAGGCGUUACCCGCAGAAGAAGCACCGGCUAACUCCGUGCCAGCCGCCGCGGUAAUUC